rnacentral:rRNA from 1 species
AUUGAACGCUGGCGGCAGGCCUAACACAUGCAAGUCGAGCGGUAGCACAGGAGAGCUUGCUCUCUGGGUGACGAGCGGCGGACGGGUGAGUAAUGUCUGGGAAACUGCCUGAUGGAGGGGGAUAACUACUGGAAACGGUAGCUAAUACCGCAUGACCUCGCAAGAGCAAAGUGGGGGACCUUCGGGCCUCACGCCAUCGGAUGUGCCCAGAUGGGAUUAGCUAGUAGGUGAGGUAAUGGCUCACCUAGGCGACGAUCCCUAGCUGGUCUGAGAGGAUGACCAGCCACACUGGAACUGAGACACGGUCCAGACUCCUACGGGAGGCAGCAGUGGGGAAUAUUGCACAAUGGGCGCAAGCCUGAUGCAGCCAUGCCGCGUGUGUGAAGAAGGCCUUCGGGUUGUAAAGCACUUUCAGCGAGGAGGAAGGCCAGUGACUUAAUAAGUGGCUGGAUUGACGUUACUCGCAGAAGAAGCACCGGCUAACUCCGUGCCAGCAGCCGCGGUAAUACGGAGGGUGCAAGCGUUAAUCGGAAUUACUGGGCGUAAAGCGCACGCAGGCGGUUUGUUAAGUCAGAUGUGAAAUCCCCGAGCUUAACUUGGGAACUGCAUUUGAAACUGGCAAGCUAGAGUCUUGUAGAGGGGGGUAGAAUUCCAGGUGUAGCGGUGAAAUGCGUAGAGAUCUGGAGGAAUACCGGUGGCGAAGGCGGCCCCCUGGACAAAGACUGACGCUCAGGUGCGAAAGCGUGGGGAGCAAACAGG